rnacentral:rRNA from 1 species
UACGAAGGGGGCUAGCGUUGCUCGGAAUCACUGGGCGUAAAGGGUGCGUAGGCGGGUCUUUAAGUCAGGGGUGAAAUCCUGGAGCUCAACUCCAGAACUGCCUUUGAUACUGAAGAUCUUGAGUUCGGGAGAGGUGAGUGGAACUGCGAGUGUAGAGGUGAAAAUUCGUAGAUAUUUCGCAAGAACACCAGUGGCGAAGGCGGCUCACUGGCCCGAUACUGACGCUGAGGCACGAAAAGCGUGGGGAGCAAACAGGGAUUAGAAG